rnacentral:rRNA from 1 species
AGAGUUUGAUUAUGGCUCAGGAUGAACGCUAGCGGCAGGCCAACACAUGCAAGUCGCGGGGCAGCACGGGUAGCAAUACCUGGUGGCGACCGGCGCACGGGUGCGUAACGCGUAUGCAACCUGCCCCCAUCAGGGGAAUAGCCCGCGAAAGGCGGAUUAAUGCCCCAUAGGCCCAGGGCGCCGCAUGGCGCUAUGGGUAAAGCUCCGGCGGAUGGGGAUGGGCAUGCGUGCCAUUAGCUAGUGGGCGGUAACGGCGCACCAAGGCGACGAUGGCUAGGGGGUCUGAGAGGAUGGUCCCCCACACUGGUACUGAGACACGGACCAGACUCCUACGGGAGGCAGCAGUGAGGAAUAUUGGUCAAUGGGCGGAAGCCUGAACCAGCCAUGCCGCGUGCAGGAUGACGGCCCUACGGGUUGUAAACUGCUUUUCCCCGGGAAGAAUAAGCCCCUCGUGAGGGGUGAUCGCCGGUACCGGGGGAACAAGGAUCGGCUAACUCCGUGCCAGCAGCCGC